rnacentral:rRNA from 1 species
ACCUGCCUGUAAGACUGGGAUAACUCCGGGAAACCGGGGCUAAUACCGGAUGCUUGUUUGAACCGCAUGGUUCAAACAUAAAAGGUGGCUUCGGCUACCACUUACAGAUGGACCCGCGGCGCAUUUUGGUGAGGUAACGGCUCACCAAGGCAACGAUGCGUAGCCGACCUGAGAGGGUGAUCGGCCACACUGGACUGAGACACGGCCCAGACUCCUACGGGAGGCAGCAGUAGGGAAUCUUCCGCAAUGGACGAAAGUCUGACGGAGCAACGCCGCGUGAGUGAUGAAGGUUUUCGGAUCGUAAAGCUCUGUUGUUAGGGAAGAACAAGUACCGUUCGAAUAGGGCGGUACCUUGACGGUACCUAACCAGAAAGCCACGGCUAACUACGUGCCAGCAGCCGCGGUAAUACGUAGGUGGCAAGCGUUGUCCGGAAUUAUUGGGCGUAAAGGGCUCGCAGCGGUUUCUUAAGUCUGAUGUGAAAGCCCCCGGCUCAACCGGGGGGUCAUUGGAAACUGGGGAACUUGAGUGCAAAAGAGAGU